GAUGAACGCUGGCGGCGUGCCUAAUACAUACAAGUCGAGCGAACGGACGAGAAGCUUGCUUCUCUGAUGUUAGCGGCGGACGGGUGAGUAACACGUGGAUAACCUACCUAUAAGACUGGGAUAACUUCGGGAAACCGGAGCUAAUACCGGAUAAUAUUUUGAACCGCAUGGUUCAAAAGUGAAAGACGGUCUUGCUGUCACUUAUAGAUGGAUCCGCGCUGCAUUAGCUAGUUGGUAAGGUAACGGCUUACCAAGGCAACGAUGCAUAGCCGACCUGAGAGGGUGAUCGGCCACACAGGAACUGAGACACGGUCCAGACUCCUACGGGAGGCAGCAGUAGGGAAUCUUCCGCAAUGGGCGAAAGCCUGACGGAGCAACGCCGCGUGAGUGAUGAAGGUCUUCGGAUCGUAAAACUCUGUUAUUAGGGAAGAACAUAUGUGUAAGUAACUGUGCACAUCUUGACGGUACCUAAUCAGAAAGCCACGGCUAACUACGUG
rnacentral:rRNA from 1 species